rnacentral:rRNA from 1 species
GACGAACGCUGGCGGCGUGCUUAACACAUGCAAGUCGAACGGAAAGGCCCCAGCUUGCUGUCGUACUCGAGUGGCGAACGGGUGAGUAACACGUGGGUAAUCUGCCCUGCACUCUGGGAUAAGCCUGGGAAACUGGGUCUAAUACUGGAUAUGACCUUUCUCCUUAUGGUGUUUGGUGGAAAGUUUUUCGGUUUAGGAUGAGCCCGCGGCCUAUUCGCCUGUUGGUGGGGUGAUGGCCUACCAAGGCGACGGCGGGUAGCCGGCCUGAGAGGGUGAGCGGCCACAUGGGGACUGAGAUACGGCCCAGACUCCUACGGGAGGCAGCAGUGGGGAAUAUUGCACAAUGGGCGGAAGCCUGAUGCAGCGACGCCGCGUGAGGGAUGACGGCCUUCGGGUUGUAAACCUCUUUCAGCAGGGACGAAGCGUAAGUGACGGUACCUGCAGAAGAAGCACCGGCUAACUAUGUG